ACAUAACUGAUGCCUCCGCGUAUCGACUUUGUGCGCAUUUUAGCUAUUAUGUGUUCUUUUAAUUAAAAUGAUUCUUUUUAAGAUUCAUCUAUUAAAAAUUUGCUUCGGCAUAAUUUUUUUUGAUGAUCUUGUUACUUUGAGUAAAUUAGAGUGUUCAAAGCAAACAGAUAUAGCAUUUGUGCGUUUGAAUACUACAGCAUGGAAUAACAAAAUUGAACAAGUCAGAAUUUUUUUGUUCUUUUUUCUUAUUUUGGCUUAGUUACGAUUAAUAGGAGUAGCUUGGGGGCAUUUGUAUUCAGAUGUCAGAGGUGAAAUUCUUAGAUUUUCUGGAGACAAACAACUGCGAAAGCAUUUGCCUAAAAUACUUCCAUUAAUCAAGAACGAAAGUUAAGGGAGUGAAGACGAUCAGAUACCGUCGUAAUCUUAACCAUAAACUAUGCCGACUAGGCUUUGGAUGAAAGAUUUUAAAAUAAGAGUUUUUCUUUUCUCUCCGGAGAUUAGAACUCUUAGAUUGCUUCCUUCAGUGCCUUAUGAGAAAUCAAAGUCUUUGGGUUCUGGGGCGAGUAUUCGCGCAAGCGAGAAAGUUAAAAGAAUUGACGGAAGGGCACCACCAGGCGUGGAGCUUGCGGCUUAAUUUGACUCAACACGGGAAAACUCACUAGUUUAAGACAAGAGUAGGAUUGACAGAUUAAUAGCUCUUUCUUGAUUUCUUGGAUGGUGAUGCAUGGCCGUUUUUAGUUCGUGAAUAUGAUUUGUCUGGUUAAUUCCGAUAACGAACGAGAUCUCAACCUGCUAAUUAGCGGCAAAUACGAUAUAUUCUUAUGUAGAAUUGAAUAUAGUGGAUUUGUUAGAUUUUGAAGAAAAUAUUGGAAUUACGUUAAAUGUGAUUCCUUUCCCUUUUCUACUUAAUUUGCAUUUCCAUCUAUUUCUUUUUUGCGUAUGAACGUAUUUGCUUGAUUGUAAAGCUUCUUAGAGGAACGAUGUGUG
rnacentral:rRNA from 1 species